CAGUGCAGUGAAACUCAGAUCAUUAUGUUGACUGAAUUCGUUACCGCCGGACUCGCCCCACCAUGAAAUAGCACUGCUCAGCCAAUUGGGAUUCAUGGUCACAGCCCUUCACGGGAUCAUCGGGGUUUAUAGUCCAUAACAAAUACAAAUGCAGAAAGGAACAAUAACAGUGUGGUACAUCUGACCUAUUAUCCCACCUUGUGAGACUUUUGUCACGAAUACACCCGAACAGUGACUGGCUACAUGUUUGCUGUUGUGCAGACGCAUGGGACAGUCACCUAGGAACGAGAAGCCAUGCCUCAAAACAGCGCUGUUGCUGUUGUCUUCAGUGACUAAAAGCUGUCUUUAUGCUUACAACACAUCGUUCAUGAUUUAUGUAAAACACCGGUGUGUGAGGGAGCUUAGGAGGUUUGCUGGGAGCAUCAGAAGAAGCCUGAAAUCCCAGCAGGUCACCCCUUUCAAAGCAACAAAUACGACUGUCUACAUGCCACCAAAACGCAAGAGCAAACUCAAGCGUGAAGACACACAGUCGGCACAACCUCUGUUUGCAAGUCAGCCGCUCCGCGCUGCACAACGUGACUGAUCCCUAGAUAUUUUAUGUCAAAGUAACAUUUCUUAUGAAACAUAUAGAGAUUCCCUGCCAUGGAGAGAUUUAGCCUACCUACAGCACUUUCACGGUUAUCUGCUCAGAUUAAUCGCAGGAGGCUGGCCGUGGAUGUAGGACAAUAGAUCAGUUCUUUUUGUACCCCAAGGAUAAAAUAAGAAAUGGUGACCUGAAAUGCAGAUAAAGAGGAAAGGAUGAGAGCUUGAUUUCUCUACUCUAAGCCCCGUGCUAACACGUGUGAACCAGCAGAUUGUGUCACCCCUUUGGGACCUGCUUAUGUGCAUUUUGGAUCAUACUUUGUGAUAAAUGGAGGUGGAGUUUUAUGUAGCAAAGAGGAAAACUAGUAGAAAUAUGUGCCAAUUGACAAUCCAAACAGUAUUGACGUUUGAACAACAUAAAUUCUGACCUAGUAUAAGGUAGUAGUUUGAUGAAAGAUUCAGUUGCACCCAGUCUAAUUGUGCACAUGUAUUAUACUGGAUAUAGCCACUUUCUGCAUGUGCUUUCUUAAUCUUUGGAUGUCUGUUCUUUGGAUGUCAUGUUACAUUUAUCUCUGCCCUUUCCCUGAACCCCAGUUCACCACCAGCUUGCAGACCCCAGCAUCUCCACAUGCUCUACUUCCAGCAGUUUGUUAUCUAGAGCUACCUCUGGAAGACUUAACACUGUUUUUAGCAGAUUUUCUGUCAGGGUUGAAAGAAGACAACCGUGGGAAUUUGGGUGUGGAUAUGCUGGGUGAAUCCUCAAGAAAAGGGCAGGUGGCUGUGUGGGAUUGCUUCUAUGAGGGCUGUAUAGAAAACACUCUUACAGUAUUCCCGAGCAGACCUGCUUUUUAGGUCAAGAAUAAACAAUGUAUACAAUAAUACUUACUGCUUUUGGACAGCGAAGUACAAGUUGGAAUUUGAGAGCCCUACAGCAACAGCCCCAGGACAGUGACCGUAUACAAACUUCUCGUGGAGAUCACCUGGGACAUUGUGGCAGAAAUCACAUUUAAAACAACUGGGAAUGACUUCUCCUUGGCCCAAGUAACAGCAUAACAGCUUCCUCCUCCUAAACCAUCUGCCUCCUGCCUUCCUUCACAAGACCCUCUUACAUUGCUUUAGGAUUCAGGAGCUUGUACUAAUUUAGGAGCCUCACUGAAUCUCUUUACCAGCACAAGCUACGAAAAAUGCAUCGAGCAUAUCCUCUGCUCUUUGCACUGGCUUGCUGUGAAAUUGAAGAACAAACUCCAGCUUGCAGUCCUGGUCUUGGGGACAUUUCAUGGCCUGGUCCCAGUGCAGAUGAAGGCUUCUCAAAGCUGGGCGGUGGAUCCCGUGCCUGUGGCAUGUGUCCUGUGUGGUGCAGGGCACAGCUCUGCCAGCGACACGGCACUGCUUGUGGCAGGAGUGAAGCUUCCUUCUGCAGAAGGCCGACAGGAGUACUCACGCCAUCCAAAACCUGGGUCCAAGCUCUGCUCUGCUCCCUGGUGAGAUGCUCUCUGGUGGUAGCACUUUGAUUCAGUUGCCUCUUCCACAUUGGUGGCAUUUCUUGCAGUGGCAUCCAAAGCUGUGAAUUACUUCACUGUGGCCUUUGGCCAGGACCUUUUCCUUGCCAUACUUUUCCUUAUCUCUCCUGCAGCGUCUGAGGAUGGCAUAGGACUAAUUCGGAGUUUCUUCUUCAUUCUCCUGGUGGGUGAUAGACUUUUCCCUCCUUGGAGAAGUUUGCUUCCUGACUCUGCAUAGCCUCAAAAACAGUAUCGUCGUGGACAUUAUCUACUCUUUUUGUCAGGCCUUGGAAUCUUGAAAGAGACCUUGGAAUUGUGUCUACUGCAAGAGCAGUAUUUCCAAAUACACUGCAUUAAAUGGCUUAUUCUGAAUUGAAUAACAUUUCUCCUCUCUAUUUAUGGAUGUUCUGUUCUGGAAAUGUAUGGGAGGGAAGGGCGAUUGUUUCAUCCCCCAUUUUGCCCUUUAGAAAACAUGCAUACACAUAAAUCCUUUUCUCUGAAUAAAAUGUGACCUGAAGGCCUCAGCUAUCCAAAAAGCUGACUGGUCUUUUAGGUCCUUUUAGGACCUUUUUUAGGUCCUUGACUUUUGUCCUUGAAAUAGGAAAGAGUGAAAACACGGAAAAAAAUUUCAUGAAAAAUAC